ensembl:lncRNA
UUAAAAUAACUGAGUGCAUUUUUAAAAGGCCAAGUGUGCCGGGCUAUUGGCUGAUACUGAUCUCAACAUGAAUACAUUUUAGCCAACUACAUUCAGAAUGCUUUGAAUUCUUUUUUACCUUCUGGAUGUCCUUGACUCAAAUUGACCUGCAUAGUUAUUUUUUGAAGGACGUUUUACUCGCAGACUCACUUUAAACCAUGCGUUCUGACAGCCAUGAAUCAUCUGAGUGUCACAAGGGUCUGCAUCAAUUUGUUCUGUGUGUAAUUUCUCCUGUUCUGCUCUGCUGACAGCAGUGUUUCUCUGUCCGCAGCUGGAGAGGAGAAGAACAAGUAUGGGGCCCUUUGUUACCAUGCUGAGAGAGACUGAUCGGGGGUUAAUUGAAAUAUGCACCCACAAGAUUUGUGGCACGAAGUACAAAGUCAUCAUUCAAAUGUAAGUAUGUGGGUUUUUUUUUCUGUGCACAUCCAUUACUGA